rnacentral:lncRNA from 10 species
GCGCUCCGGUACUCGCUGCUCGCGGCUGGCCGGCUCGGGAUUCCGGGCUUUCUUCCCGAGACCGCGUCCCCCAGCUGGGCCGAAGGUGGACGCUCAGGGGCUGGAGGCUCAGCGGAAUCCCCUGCGUUCAGUAGCCCCGCUCUCCCCUGUCCCGAAGAUCAGGGAUAGCAGAAAUGAAAGUAUAAUGGAAGCAGCUGGAGGAUUCCAGGUCCACUUUCACCCAAGUAAUGGAGACGGAAGGUUCAUCGAAACUUCUUCAGCUGCAGAUCUAGAAGUCAUUAGCUAUUCUAGCAAAGUAUCUGUCACAGAAAGGUGCUUCAUAAAGGUCUGCACUGUGCUCUUUUGACCUGUGUCUUCAAGCAUGUGCUGUCAUAACAGAUUAAAGAUGACUGAAAAUUAUCUGCCACUCAUUGCGUGAAAGGUGGGAUCUGUAGACCUCCCUCUUGAAUUUGGGAGGGUUCUGUGACUGCUGUGACCAAUGAAUAUGGCAGAAGUGACGCUUUGCCAACUUCUGGGUCCAGGCUAUACGAGACAGGCAGUUCCACUCACUGUCUCUUAGAUCCAUGUAAAAAGUUCAUCUACCCUGCUGGAAAAACCAUGUAGAGAGGCCCUGAGACUACAUUGGGUGGGAGAGGGGCUCAGCUGCACCAUCUUCCAACUGUCCCCAUCAAGAUGACAGAAAUAUAAAUGAAGCCUUCUUGAACUCCAGACCAUCCAUGCUACAAGCUAAAUGCCACCAAGCGACCCCAGUUAAUACCAUGUGGAGCAAAAAUAUCACUUAACCAAGCACUGCCUGAGUUUCUGACCCCACAGAAUUCUGACCCCAUACAAAUAAAAUAAUUUUUGUAAUUUUUUAUAAUUCGUCAUGUAAUAGAUAAAUGGAACAGCCUUCUUCCAGUCUUUUAAAUAGCUGCAAGAAAUCUUAUUCAAGCAGAAGGAAGUUUCUACUUUGUUCAUACAGUCUCAAGACAUCCCUGGAGCCUUUCAAGGGAAAUUUGGGCAGAAGUAGGUAGAGAGGUAAAGCUAUUAUGUAACAUUACUUAACAUGAUUAAAACCACCUUAAUGUCUCCCAUCCUCAAAGGCUGCCAGUGAAUUGGAAAUUAAUGGAUUAAAUGAGGACAGAGAAACUAGUAUUUGUGCAUAUGCACUGUGCCAGGUAUUUAACGUAUCUUAGCUCAUGUGGUCUUCGAAACAACCCCAUAUUGUAGUAUCAGGCUCACACGGGUAACUAACUAGUGCAAAGACACAAGGCUCACAAACUGCUACUUGACCCUAGAGCUCUUUGACUCCGAUUCCCAUGUACGUGCCCCAAUACCAUGUUGACUCCCAAGGUGUAAAUCUUCAGGUAUACAAACUAUUAAAAUGUGAAUUUUCAUUU